GUCCGACUCUUUGUGACCCCCUGGACCAGAGCACGCCAGGCACUCCUGUCUUCCACUGCCUCCCGCAGUUUGGUCAGACUCAUGCUGGUAGCUUCGAGAACACUGUCCCACCAUCUCGUCCUCUGUCGUCCCCUUCUCCUUGUGCCCUCCAUCUUUCCCAACAUCAGGGUCUUUUCCAGGGAGUCUUCUCUUCUCAUGAGGUGGCCAAAGUCUUGGAGCCUCAGCUUCAGGAUCUGUCCUUCCAGUGAGCACUCAGGGCUGAUUUCCUUCAGAAUGGAGAGGUUCGGUCUUCUUGCAGUCCAUGGGACUCUCAAGA
rnacentral:lncRNA from 1 species